UCCCUGGUGGUCCAGUGUUUAGGACACUGCGCUUUCACAGCCGAGGGCCCAGGUUCGAUCCCUGGUUGGGGAA